rnacentral:ncRNA from 1 species
GAUGGAUUGCCGCCGGGUAAGAGCGUUAAAUUUUGUAUCGUUAGGCCGAAGCAGAUACAAAACUUAACGCUCUUUUUCU